rnacentral:misc_RNA from 1 species
GUAUUCAAUUUAUUUUUGUUUUCCAAAAAAAAUUAAUGUUUUUCAGGCUUGCUUUGAGAAAAAAGCAAGAAAGGUUUGUCAACGUGAAACAAAGGAAAAAACUCUGGCAGCGCCGGAGGAAGGGAGGUGAGAGAAAGCUUUUUAUUUCUUCUUCCCUCCUCUCUUCUCUCCACGGAGAAACAAUAAAGGAUCUCCCGCAAACUGCCAAAGCAAACAUGUCAAUGAGGUGCACACGAAGGUGGAUAUGGAUUUGAACCAUCCAUAUGCAAAGGAAAAUGGACAAUUGUUAAUGAUCCUUCCGCAGGUUCACCUACGGAAA